rnacentral:lncRNA from 1 species
GGUUCCUAACCCAAGACAACACAUUUGGCCAGUUUUCAAUGACACAAAAAUAGUAAAGUCUAAGCCCUAUACAAGCCAUAUUUAAAAAUAUAAAUCAAACUAUACCAAAAGCUUCAAUUGAUAGUGCGAUCGAUAUCUUUGACUUUCGUUGAUCCUUAAGUUAGAUAGGCAGCACUAUAAGAAAAUGGAAAAAGAGAGGGAGUAAGCAUAAAGCUUAGUAAGUUGCACAUAAAUAAAUAUACAACAUAUCUUUACCAUUCAUCAAAAAGUAUCAUAAUACACAAGUGGCAUAAGCAAAACUUACUCAUCAAUAUUCAUUACACCUCAUAUAGCAUAUAUUGAGCUCACAUUUCAUACAUACCAUAUGGGUACCUGUACCACUCACAACACGGUUAUACUUUUCUAGUUAACUUUAAAUCAUACUUUCACCAUUGAACUAUAUUGAACAUUAUCGGAUAUUCAUUUAGCCUCAAAUAUGGGGUCAGACAUCGACUUCAUGUCCCCGACAUAGUCUUACACAAGUUCCAGUAUAUCUGUGCCGAUACCAAGUCCCAGACAUGGUCUUACAUUGACAGAUCUCGUAGCUGAUGCAUGUCCCAAACCUGUCUUACACUAGCUUACGUCUCGAGGCUGAUGCAUGUCCCAGACAUUCUUACACUAGCACCUGUCUCAAUGCCGAUGCCAUGUGCCAGACAUGGUCUUACACUGGCUCUCAUAAUGUGGCUGAUGCAUGUCCCAGACAUGUCUUACACUAGCUCACAAUAACCCAUAUGUUAUGGCAUGAAUCUCUAAUCUAUUUCCUAAGUUCAAACUGGAACUCUACUAUCUCUAUUACCAUCAUGCUUUCUCAAUUCCACAAUCAAGCAAUUCAUGCUAUAUUAAUCUGAAGUACAAUUCAACACAUAUAUUAACAUUGUAGUUGUAUUAUUUACAUACAACUUACAUCGGAUUACAAAAUAUGGCAACGAGUCGAUUUAGUCGAUUUGCUUGGCUUUCCCCCGGUCUAGGUUCAGAUUUGGUAUUUCUUGAUCUAUAAUAGAAAAAUGCAUUUAUUUAGUCACUUUAUCAAUCUAGGCACUCUACAAUUCAUAAUUGGGCAAGAUGACCAAUUUGCUCCUAGACUUUUGCAGAAUGACCAUUUUACCCCUAAGUCCGAAAAUCGAUUUUUGUCGAAUUGCUUCACAUCUUAAGCCUAGCCAAACCCUUUUUACUCUUAUAGCAACUCCAAAUUCUCACUAUUUCACAUAUUUAACAUCUAUUUUACAACUUGUACAAAAUGGUCCUUUUAGGUGUUUUCAUGCCAACACCUUUCACAAAAAUUGGUUAUAAGACACCCAAGACUCAUUUUUCUUUUACAAAAACUCAGCAAAAUUACAAAUCCUUUCAUGUAAAAACCCUAAACUCUUAUUCAUUUUGCAAAAUAGUACCCUCAUUUGAAAGCUAUUGCUCCAAGGGUCUCAAAAGUACAAAAAUAUUCAAGAAAAGCCAUAAAAAUCACUUACUUGUAAAAGGAAUGAGUUGCUGAAAUUUUUGAAGCUCAAACCCCUAACAACGACUAAAAAAUCGAUGGUAAAGAAGAAAGAGUGAAAGAAAAAAGAUGAUAGCUAGGCUUAGGGCAUUAUUAUAUCAUACAUUAUGUCAUCAACUUACCUAAUGUUGACUUUUCAACAUUUUUACCUCCCAUGGCCGGCCAAGCUAUCACAAUAGGAUCUAAUUUCCCUUUAAAGACCUUCAAUUUUUAUUCUCUAGCUAUUUGACACUUUCAACUAUCAAUUUAGGAGUUUUGCAUUUUAUGCGAUUUAGUCAUUUCUCGCAAUUAGACUCGCAAACGUCAAAAUUAACUCACCAAAAUUUUUAUACACUUAUAUAAACAUGCAAUGACUCUAAAAUAAUAAUAAAAUAAUUUAUUCAACUCUGAAUUUGUGGUCCUAAGAUCACUAUUCUGACUAGGCCCUAAAUCGGGCUAUUACACUAAAAUUCUAGUAAGUGAGGCUGCAUGGUUACCAGGAGCUGUGGAUUACAGAAUUCAAAAUGGUGAGAGUUGUUCUGAAACUUUUAUUGUGGCAGAUCUAGUUGACAAUGUCAUAAGGAAAUGGAAAGUGGAGUUCAUAAUGUAUACCUUCUAUGAAAGUGAUGCUAAAAGAAUUCUGAGCAUCUCUUUGUCAAGGUUCUCGCAUGAAGACUACUAAGUGUAGAGAGAGAGGAGGCAUCGAGGGAAUUCUCAGUUCGCGGUGCCUAUAAGUCUCUUUUACAAUAGUUUAUUGAGCUUACUCAUUUAUACAACCAAACUGAGCAUACAAAUUUUUACAAGAAAUUAUGGGGCUUGAAUCUACCCUAAAAACUGAAUAUUACAAUUUGGUGUUUCUAAAAAAAAUAAUUUCCUACGCUAUUUAAUCUACAGUAUAAAAGAUCAAGAAAUACAAUAAUAUGCCCGAGAUGCAUAGGAAAGGUUGAAUCCAGAGUACAUGUUCUGCGUGAUUGUCUUGUGACAAAGGAGAUGUGGCAUCAAUUGAAUUGGAAUUGGCCAAAUUCAGUAUUAUACAUGGAGCUUAUGUACUGGGUUACCAGGUUUUUUUUAGAAAAAUUCUACCAUUCAAUGUUGUCUUUUUGUCUGUGCUUUAUGGGUAAUAUGGACUGAAAGAAACAAAUUGGUCAUGAGGGGCAAAGGAAAACAAGUUUAGCCAUAACGAAUUUUAUUAGGAAUUAUGUUCAAAAACUAGAUGGUUGAAUAAUUCCAUACAUGUUCAAAGAAUGGAGUUGAAAAAGUGGCAGCCAACAGAGAACCCAUUUGUGAAAAUAAACUUUGAUGCAGCAUACAGAAAACAUGAAAGCAAAUCUUGCUCAGUGAUUGCAAUUAGAGAUUCUAUGGGGCGGGUAUUGAGUUUUAGGGUUGAGUUGAAUGAUAAUGUACCCUUGGUGUUCGCAGUAGAGGCUAUUGCAUGCGUUCAACUGGGCCUGGAUCUGGGGUUUACGACAGUCGAAAUUGAAGGAGAUGCCCUAUCUAUUGUAAAAAAAAUACACAAAGGAGGGGUGAUAAAUAAAAAAUUUGUGCUUAUAUUAGAGAUGGGCAAGGGCUGGGUAAAAGAUUUCAAACCUGUCAAUUUAAACAUGGGCACAAAUUAACGAAUUGGGUUGCUCAUUUGCUGGCUGCAAAAGGUCUAAAGAAAGGGGAUCGAUGCUUGAUGAGAAAUGGGUUUCCUGAGUAUGUUAGAGAAUAAGUGGAAAUGGAUCAUAGGGGAUAAUGUUUUUGGUCUGGGUUUUUUCUUAGUUUGGCAAGUUGGGGGACAAGAAGCAUAUAGAGAAGAGAGAUAAAUGGAAGUCGGAUGGUUUCUAGUAAUUGGAAAAAAAAAAAAGAUAAAUUAUUGAGGGGUUACUAUCUAGUUGUUGGAUCACAGGAGUUGUGUCGCAUUAAUUGCUUCAAGAGUAAGCUCCUUUCUUUGUUGGAUUAUUGGGCUGAUUGGGUUAGCCCAACUUUAUUGUUUUGCCCGUUUGUUG